AUGCACGCUGGCGGCGUGCCUAAUACCUGCCAGUCGAGCGAACGGACGAGAAGCUUGCUUUUCUGAUGUUAGCGGCGGACGGGUGAGUAACACGUGGAUAACCUACCUAUAAGACUGGGAUAACUUCGGGAAACCGGAGCUAAUACCGGAUAAUAUUUUGAACCGCAUGGUUCAAAAGUGAAAGACGGUCCUGCUGUCACUUAUAGAUGGAUCCGCGCUGCAUUAGCUAGUUGGUAAGGUAACGGCUUACCAAGGCAACGAUGCAUAGCCGACCUGAGAGGGUGAUCGGCCACACUGGAACUGAGACACGGUCCAGACUCCUACGGGAGGCAGCAGUAGGGAAUCUUCCGCAAUGGGCGAAAGCCUGACGGAGCAACGCCGCGUGAGUGAUGAAGGUCUUCGGAUCGUAAAACUCUGUUAUUAGGGAAGAACAUAUGUGUAAGUAACUGUGCACAUCUUGACGGUACCUAAUCAGAAAGCCACGGCUAACUACGUG
rnacentral:rRNA from 1 species